GCGGAGGAAAAGAAACUAACCAGGAUUCCCCUAGUAACGGCGAGUGAAGCGGGAAAAGCUCAUGUUGUGAAUCUAUGAUGGAAUUGUGGUCUACAGAUGCUUGCACUAUUUGGCCGGACCAAGUCCCUUGGAACAGGGCAGCGGAGAGGGUGAGACUCCCGUCCGUCUGGUCUUUGGAGCAUGUGUCAAUGAGUCGAGUUGUUUGGGAUUGCAGCUCAAAGGAGGUGGUAAAUUCCAUCCAAAGCUAAAUAAGGGUGGCAGACCGAUAGCGUACAAGUACCGUGAGGGAAAGAUGCAAAGCCGCGCGAAAGCGCUGUUAAAGAGUACCUGAAAUUGCUGAAAAGGAAGCGAAGGAAACCAGUGUCAGCAUGGUCAUAUUUCCCUGUCUGCUUGCAGCUGGGGCGCUGUGUCCAGCCUAGUCAUUGCUUGUUGUGUUGACAGGAUUUGCACAAGAAAAGUUGAUUCUUGUUGC
rnacentral:rRNA from 1 species